GGAAAAGCUCGAUCGAGAAAGAGAGAGAGAUUCGGAGAUCGAACUGAAGCAUGGUCCCUUUCUCAAUGUGUAUUCCUAUCUCUGUCCAAGGAGAGGUAACAGCAUGGGUUACCCUUAAACUCGAGCCACCGGAUCGAGGAGACUGAAUUCUUGUACUCUGAAGGCUCAACCCAGUGAGCUAUCUUUCUUGAAGUUGUCGAUAAGCUUCCAAUUGUGCGGAGGAACCACUUUUUGAUAUCGGGGAUCAGCUCGAAGAACUAGGUAAGAAUCCUUAGUUAGUUGAUAGAUAUUCUUGUGUAUAGAAGGGACUUGAAAAUGUUACGACCUGAGAAAACCUUUUGUAAUUACUAGGAAUGUCACGACCCAAAUUUCAGCAGAGUUUCUCCUAAAUUUUCUCAAUAUCCAUUAUCACAUAACUAUUAAAAAAAAACUACUUUUCAUAAACUCCCAAAACAUAUAUAUAACCAAUCCAACAAACUCUAAUAUGUAUAUAUAUACUUUUCAAGAAAUUACUUUUUCUCACCCACAUCAGUAAUCCAACUAAACAAAAAUUUUAUGUCGUAACAUAUUCAAAUACAUUCUAUACAAAAAGGAUUUCUAUUAAAUAACCAAGGUCCCUAUCUAGUCCUCAGAGUUGAUCCUCGAUGUCUAAAAAGUUCUCUGGUGCAUCUAGAAACUUGUCUAGAAAAAUAUAUGCAUGGUGUAAGUUGCAUUUCAGUGAGCACUAUAUUCAAAA